UACGUAGGGUGCAAGCGUUGUCCGGAAUUAUUGGGCGUAAAGAGCUCGUAGGCGGUUCGUUGUGUCUGUGGUGAAAGCCCCGGGCUUAACCUGGGAAUGGCCAUGGAAACUGGCGAGCUGGAGUGUGGCAGAGGGGGGUGGAAUUCCGCGUGUAGCAGUGAAAUGCGUAGAGAUGCGGAGGAACACCGAUGGCGAAGGCAGCCCCCUGGGCUAACACUGACGCUGAGGCACGAAAGCGUGGGGAGCAAACAGG
rnacentral:rRNA from 1 species